GGUUCAUAUUGGGUUAAAAGGGUCCAAAAUUAAACUUUGUUUGAUUUCAUCAAAAAUUGAAUUAUUAGGGUUCUUUGAUAUGCCAAAUCUAACCGUGUUUUUAGAUUUUUAAUUUAUGGUCCCGUUUUUUAAAUUGGUCUACAUUAAGGUCCAAAGGGUCCAAAAUUAAACUUAGUUUGAUUUUAACAAAAAUUGAAUUCUUGGGGUUCUUUGAUAUGCUGAAUCUAAACAUGUGUUUAGAUUUUUGAUUAUGGGCCCAGUUUUCAAGUUGGUUCAAGUUGGGGUCCAAAAUUAAACUUUUUUUGAUUUCAACAAGAAUUGAAUAUAUGGGGUACUUUGAUAUGCUGAAUCUAACCAUGAUUUUAGAUUUUUUAUUUGUGGGCCCCGCUAUCAAAUUAGUUCAUAUUGAGGUCAAAAGGGUCCAAAAUUAAACUUUGUUUGAUUUCAUCAAAAAUUGAAUUAUUGGGGUUCUUUUAUAUUCCAAAUCUAACCGUGUAUUUAGAUAUUUAAUUUUGGGUCCCGUUUUUAUUUAAAUUGGUCUACAUUAAGGUCUAAAGGGUCCAAAAUUAAACUUAGUUUGAUUUUAACAAGAAUUGAAUUCUUGGGGUUCUUUGAUAUGCUGAAUCUAAACAUGUGUUUAGAUUUUUGAUUAUGGGCCCAGUUUUCAAGUUGGUCCAAAGGGUCCAAAAUUAAACUUAGUUUGAUUUUAACAAAAAUUGAAUUCUUGGGGUUCUUUGAUAUGCUGAAUCUAAACAUGUGUUUAGAUUUUUGAUUAUGGGCCCAGUUUUCAAGUUGGUCCAAA